GACAGAGGGUGCAAACGUUGUUCGGAAUUACUGGGCGUAAAGCGCGUGUAGGCUGUCUUGCAAGUCGGGUGUGAAAGCCCCGGGCUCAACCUGGGAAGUGCACUCGAAACUGCAAGACUCGAGUCCUGGAGAGGAAGGCGGAAUUCUCGGUGUAGAGGUGAAAUUCGUAGAUAUCGAGAGGAACACCGGUGGCGAAGGCGGCCUUCUGGACAGUGACUGACGCUGAGACGCGAAAAGCGUGGGGAGCAACAGGG
rnacentral:rRNA from 1 species